CAAGGCAGUCAGCGGAUCUCAGUGCGCAGGCGUGGCAAUGCGACAGAAUGCACUUUAAGAAUGCAUUCUGUGGUGCCAUCUAGCGGGCAUAAGUUUCCCUGCAUCCCACCUGGCCCAGAGUUCAGGAGAGAGAAACAGUUGCUGGAGUCCAGCUCUGACCCUGUCUCAAAGAAGAGUUCUUGCCCUGAGUUCCACGGGCUCUGGGUGGUGACAACUCCAAGGCACUCACCAUAAAGAGAAAAGGAUGCUGGAAGGAACAGUGCACUGGUCCCAGGCAAGUGACAAGCAUGUACUAUGAGAAGAGAUGGGGACGGCCAUCGAGGAAGGAAGGAGG